GACUCCAGCCAAUCCCGUCUCGGCUUUUAGAAGAGCCGCAGAAAACUUUGUGUGUAUGGAUUUAGAAGAAACAAGCUGCAGCGCUGAGCAGAAGUGAUGGCCAGACCCCCCUCCAGUCUGACAGGCUUCAGUCCGGCGGUGUGAGCACAGCGGCGGAACCCAGCGGAGGACAGGGACGGAGGCUUUCCAUCUGCGAGGUACGCUCUGCGUCUCUUUACACGUGGAUGGUUGCGGGAGCGAGAAUGGGCUGCAUCAGCUCCAAAGCGCCUGUUGGUUCUGGAUGAUGGGAGCAUCAGUAACACCUUCACCCAUAAAUCCCUGUUCCCAGAGGACAUGGAUCCCCUGUCAGUCAGAGGGACCCUGAGUCCUGAAGGGACCCUGUGGGUGACCGUACGACGGACCACAGAGGCGAGUGGACCAGAGCCACUGGGAGGCCCUACCUACAGCAGCGAGGCUCACCUUUGACCUUUGUGUCCUCUCGAUGACAAACGUAGCUUUCAUUUAGAUGAGUACUGAUUCCAGUGAGUGGAGGUGAUUUUAGUAGCACUGGCCUUUUUGUUCAUUCUUGUCCUUAAACAUUAUUACAUACUUGAUGUUACUGUCCACAAUUGAUUCUUGGGUUUCUUUUCAAUUGAAAUAAAACCUGAAAACACACACUUUA